AUUGAACGCUGGCGGCAUGCCUUACACAUGCAAGUCGAACGGUAACGCGGGGCAACCUGGCGACGAGUGGCGAACGGGUGAGUAACGCAUCGGAACGUGCCCAGUAGUGGGGGAUAGCCCGGCGAAAGCCGGAUUAAUACCGCAUACGACCUACGGGUGAAAGGGGGGGAUCGCAAGACCUCUCGCUAUUGGAGCGGCCGAUGUCAGAUUAGGUAGUUGGUGGGGUAAAAGCCUACCAAGCCGACGAUCUGUAGCUGGUCUGAGAGGACGACCAGCCACACUGGGACUGAGACACGGCCCAGACUCCUACGGGAGGCAGCAGUGGGGAAUUUUGGACAAUGGGCGCAAGCCUGAUCCAGCCAUGCCGCGUGCGGGAAGAAGGCCUCGGUUGUAACCGCUUUGUCAGGGAGAAAGCUCUGGGCGUAAUACCCCGGGGUAACGUGACGGUACCCGAACGAAUAAGCACCGGCUAACUACGUGCCAGCAGCCGCGGUAAU
rnacentral:rRNA from 1 species